CACGCAGCCCCGCCCUCGGCUCGGCCGAACGCGGGAGGGGCGGGGCCUGUGAACGCUUGAGGCGGAAGGGGGCGGGUCGAGCGCCGACUUCCGGCGGAAGAGCGCGGGAGCAAGAUGGCUACUACUAAGCGCGUCCUGUACGUGGGUGGGCUGGCAGAGGAGGUGGACGACAAAGUCCUUCAUGCUGCUUUUAUUCCUUUUGGAGACAUCACAGAUAUUCAGAUUCCUCUGGACUAUGAAACAGAAAAGCACCGAGGAUUUGCUUUUGUUGAAUUUGAGUUGGCAGAGAUUGCUGCACCACCAGCUCCAACGUCAGCCAGGAAGUGCUCUUUGCUAGACCCACAUGUAGCUCAGACAAGAAGAGUAGAGGAUGCUGCAGCAGCUAUCGACAACAUGAAUGAGUCUGAGCUCUUUGGAAGGACAAUUCGGGUCAAUUUGGCCAAACCAAUGAGAAUUAAGGAAGGCUCUUCCAGACCAGUUUGGUCAGAUGACGACUGGUUGAAGAAGUUUUCGGGGAAGACUCUUGAAGAGAAUAAAGAAGAAGAAGGGUCAGAGCCUCCCAAAGUAGAACCCCAGGAGGGAGAGCCCACUGCGAAAAAGGCCCGGUCAAAUCCUCAGGUGUACAUGGACAUCAAGAUUGGGAAUAAACCAGCUGGCCGCAUCCAGAUGCUCCUGCGUUCAGAUGUUGUACCCAUGACAGCAGAGAAUUUCCGUUGCCUGUGCACCCAUGAGAAAGGCUUUGGCUUCAAGGGAAGCAGCUUCCACCGCAUCAUUCCCCAGUUCAUGUGCCAAGGCGGCGAUUUCACAAACCACAAUGGCACCGGGGGCAAGUCCAUCUAUGGGAAGAAGUUUGAUGAUGAAAACUUCAUCCUCAAACAUACAGGACCAGUUUUGAAGGAAGCUCUUGGCAGCCCCAGGUUGAUGCUGUGUCCCAGUCAGAGGCCUGCUCUCCAUGGCCAACUCUGGCCCAAACACCAAUGGCUCCCAGUUCUUCCUGACGUGUGACAAGACAGACUGGCUGGAUGGCAAGCAUGUGGUGUUUGGGGAGGUGACCGACGGUCUGGAUGUCUUGCGACAGAUUGAGGCCCAGGGCAGCAAGGACGGGAAGCCCAAGCAGAAGGUGAUCAUCGCGGAUUGUGGCGAGUUCGCGUGAGCUGAGCUGGCGCCCUCUCUGCCCUUGCUCUGCACACCCAGGAAGGAGUUGCUGCCUCCGGGACCAGCACGGAAGCAGCGUUCGUAGCCAGAGCCCUUCCUCGGCGUCAGCUCCUACAGGCACAGCAUGGACUUCUCUGGGCUCUUUCCCAUCGUGCCUGGGCCAGGAGCAGCCAGGCAGGCACCGCCCUCCCCAUCACGGACAGGCCUGGCGUUUGCUGCCAGGGCCCGAUCCCCACCUGCCCGCGGGGACCCUGGAGAUUUUCUCCACCAAAAUAAAUCCUCGUCCUCAGA